rnacentral:rRNA from 1 species
AUUGAACGCUGGCGGCAGGCCUAACACAUGAAAAUCGAGCGAGCGGCGGACGGGUGAGUAAUGUUUGGGAAACUGCCUGAUGGAGGGGGAUAACUCGUGGAAACGGUAGCUAAUACCGCAUACAAUCAGAUGUGCCCAGAUGGGAUUAGCCAGUAGGUGGGGUAACGGCUCACCUAGACGAUGCUACCUAGCUGGUCUGAGAGGAUGAACAGCCACACUGGACCUGAGUCACAAUCCAGAAUCCGACGGGAGGCAACAGAGGGCAAGAUUUCACUAUAGGCGCAAGCCUAGUGCAGCCAUGCCGCGUGGGUGAAGAAGGCCUACGGGUUGUAAAGCACGUUCAGCGGGGAGACUUUACCCGCUGAAGAGGCACCGGCUGACUCCGUGCCAGCAGCCGCGGUAAUUC